rnacentral:rRNA from 1 species
GAAACGACUGCUAAGACUGGAUAGGAAAUUAGAAGGCAUCUUUUAAUUUUUAAAAGACCUUUUUCGAAAGGUAUACUUAAAGAGGGGCUUGCGGCACAUUAGUUAGUUGGUAGGGUAAAAGCCUACCAAGACCAUGAUGUGUAGCUGGACUGAGAGGUUGAACAGCCACAUUGGGACUGAGACACGGCCCAAACUCCUACGGGAGGCAGCAGUAGGGAAUUUUCGGCAAUGGAGGAAACUCUGACCGAGCAACGCCGCGUGAACGAUGAAGUAUUUCGGUAUGUAAAGUUCUUUUAUUGAAGAAGAAAAAAUAGUGGAAAAACUAUCUUGACGAUAUUCAAUGAAUAAGCCCCGGCAAACUAUGUGCCAGCAGCCGCGGUAAUACAUAGGGGGCGAGCGUUAUCCGGAAUUAUUGGGCGUAAAGGGUGCGUAGGCGGUUUGGUAAGUCUAUAGUUUAAAUCCAGUGCUUAACACUGUUCUGCUAUAGAAACUAUCAGACUAGAGUGAGAUAGAGGCAAGUGGAAUUCCAUGUGUAGCGGUAAAAUGCGUAAAUAUAUGGAGGAACACCAGAGGCGUAGGCGGCUUGCUGGGUCUUUACUGACGCUGAGGCACGAAAGCGUGGGGAGCAAACAGGAUUAGAUACCCUGGUAGUCCACGCCGUAAACGAUGAGUACUAAGUGUCGGGGAAACUCGGUACUGAAGUUAACACAUUAAGUACUCCGCCUGAGUAGUACGUACGCAAGUAUGAAACUUAAAGGAAUUGACGGGACUCCGCACAAGCGGUGGAUCAUGUUGUUUAAUUCGAAGAUACACGAAAAACCUUACCAGGUCUUGACAUACUCUGCAAAGCUAUAGCAAUAUAGUGGAGGUUAUCAGGGAUACAGGUGGUGCAUGGUUGUCGUCAGCUCGUGUCGUGAGAUGUUAGGUUAAGUCCUAAAACGAGCGCAACCCUUGUCACUAGUUGCCAGCAUGUUAUGAUGGGCACUUUAGUGAGACUGCCAAUGAAAAAUUGGAGGAAGGUGAGGAUCACGUCAAAUCAUCAUGCCCCUUAUGAUCUGGGCUACAAACGUGAUACAAUGGCUGUUACAAAGAGUAGCUAAAACGCGAGUUUAUAGCCAAUCUCAUAAAAGCAGUCUCAGUUCGGAUUGAAGUCUGCAACUCGACUUCAUGAAGUUGGAAUCGCUAGUAAUCGCGAAUCAGCAUGUCGCGGUGAAUACGUUCUCGGGGUUUGUACACACCGC